GUUUUUAUAGUGUAACCAACACAUAGUCCUUUCAAGACUAAGCUAACCCUUCGUUUAAGAACA
rnacentral:tRNA from 1 species